AGGCUUGCGUACACACUACCCUCCCCAGACCCCAUUAGUGAGAUUUUACUGGGUUGUUGUUGUUGUAUCUAUUGAGAAGAGAACUUGAAUCUUUAGCAUAUGAAAUUAACAACCACGUAGCAUAUGUAGUUAUAAAGUAUACUAUUUAAAAUAAUAAAUAGUAUAUGUUUAUAUAAUACGCUACCGAUCACUUAAUGCUCUUAGUUUUCUUGUCUAUUAUCAUUGCAAGCUUAAUUCUCUCCACGCAGUGCUUCAAUUUAAAUGUUAAUUUGAGGUUAAAUGUGUUUCUGAAUCAUCUAAACUCUUAAACUCUUGCUUCAACUAACAAUUCUUUUCCAAAGCUUCUUUUCGUAGUUUAUAUAGUUGUCUUUAAUAUAAAAUGUAGACAUAGUUUAGCAUUUUCAGAUCAAACUUUUUUUUUGAUGUUGAUAAUGGUACAUGCUUGUGCUCACAGAAGACUUAUAUGAGAGAGGCUUCGUUAUAUCUCUAAACUUCCCGCCUUUCUUGGCUAUGACUUCAAUACUAUUAGAUAAAAAUUAUAUUAUGGCGUUUGAAUUUUAAUUUUAACAUGUGCAGUGACGGAACAGAGGAAUAAAAGGAAGCUUGAUUUAGUAUCUUACACCAAAAAUGUUGAUUAACGUGUUAUACUUCUUUGAUCAUGUGUACUUUUGAUUCUUAAUGUCAAGGGGGAAUUUUGCGGUGAUGUUUUUGUCUUUCAAAAUGAAGUUUGGUUUUAGAUUGUACGGCACUUUGAUUUGUUUUUAUAUUAAUGAAAGAAAAUGUUCGAUUAGUAUAUACACCAAAAAGAAUCGUACUGCAAAUAUAAGAUGACUAAGUUCUUAAAUGCAUAGAAAGUCUGCUAUAUGCAUAGAUAGGCAAUGCAUUAUAAUGAUUUGUUAUACAUGAUUAUGGUGUAAGAGUAAGUAUGUUAUUCAAAAGGGUAUGUUAUCAUAGAAAAUGCCUAUAAGAAUCUUAUAGUAUGAGAUACCUAUAUGUAUUGUUAUCUUUUUGACGAAACUUCUUAUGAAAUAACUCAAAGUGAUUUUAACUAUUACCAACUCAUAUGGUACUUGUCAUGGCAAUGAUGACAUUAUGGUUCGGUACUUCCGCCAACAUUUGCCUGUAAACAAGCUUUUAACGGGAGAAUUGGCAAAAAGUUUUUUAGUUUUUCAGUGGAGAAACUCUUUGUAUUUGUUGAUUCUGCAGUGGUACCUCUAUUGGUUUUCUAAUCUUUCUAUUGUGCCUUUCUUUUAAAAUAUUUUACAUUGAGUAAGAGUUCCUUUAUACGUUUCACCUUAUAAAAAGAACUGAAGAAGUAUCUUUUAUACAAAUCAAAAUCUGUAACAUCAAAGUGCUAGAUGUUUCAAAACUUAUUUUAUGUAUUCCUUAAAUACAUUAUACUUUCAGGAAUAUAUGUCUGAUGCACAAGACAACUAUGAUCUUGGCUGAAGAGAGUAUCAUAUUUUAGUGAAGUUAACUCUGUGGAAAAGAGUAAAAGCUUCCCUAUAGCGAGGGCAGGAACGAGAAUUGUGCCUCAUAUGUUUAAAUGGUGAUAAGCAUGCAGAAAUUGUGGGAAUUGCUAUAUUGGAUUGUGCCUCUGUUUGAAUAGUGAAUGCAUCAGUUUUUUUCUCUUUUUUCUCUUUCGAUAAAGCGACUUGCAUUCCAGAUUUGGACAUGAGUUGAGCACAUCUUUUAGAGUGAUGGGCUAUCACCUUAGUUAAGGCUCCUCAAUACAUUGAUGGCUAAGCUAUUGUUCUGCUGGGCAUGUUCAUGAUAUUUACACAUUUAAGUUCUGAUUAUUUCCUACGAUGUCUCCUUACAUAUUAAACGGGCUGUUUCUUUUUCUCA